rnacentral:rRNA from 1 species
AGAAUCAACGCUGGCGGCGUGCCUAACACAUGCAAGUCGAACGAGAAAGUGGAGCAAUCCAUGAGUAAAGUGGCGACCGGGUGAGUAACACGUGACUAACCUACCUUCGAGUGGGGGAUAACCUCGGGAAACCGAGGCUAAUACCGCAUAACAUCGCAAGAUCAAAGCAGCAAUGCGCUGGAAGAGGGGGUCGCGGCUGAUUAGCUAGUUGGCGGGUAACGCCCACAAGGCGAGAUCGGUAGCCGGCCUGAGAGGGCGCACGGCCACACUGGAACUGAAACACGGUCCAGACUCCUACGGGAGGCAGCAGUGGGGAAUUUUGCGCAAUGGGGGAAACCCUGACGCAGCAACGCCGCGUGGAGGAUGAAGCCCCUUGGGGCGUAAACUCCUUUCGACCAAGACGAUAAUGACGGUACUGGUGGAAGAAGCACCGGCUAACUCUGUGCCAGCAGCCGC